rnacentral:rRNA from 1 species
GACGAACGCUGGCGGCGUGCUUAACACAUGCAAGUCGAACGGUAAGGCCCUUCGGGGUACACGAGUGGCGAACGGGUGAGUAACACGUGGGUGAUCUGCCCUGCACUUCGGGAUAAGCCUGGGAAACUGGGUCUAAUACCGGAUAGGACUCCUGCCUGCAUGGGUGGGGGUGGAAAGCUUUUGCGGUGUGGGAUGGGCCCGCGGCCUAUCAGCUUGUUGGUGGGGUGAUGGCCUACCAAGGCGACGACGGGUAGCCGGCCUGAGAGGGUGACCGGCCACACUGGGACUGAGAUACGGCCCAGACUCCUACGGGAGGCAGCAGUGGGGAAUAUUGCACAAUGGGCGCAAGCCUGAUGCAGCGACGCCGCGUGAGGGAUGACGGCCUUCGGGUUGUAAACCUCUUUCAGUAGGGACGAAGCGCAAGUGACGGUACCUACAGAAGAAGGACCGGCCAACUACGUGCCAGCCGCCGCAGUAA